GCAAAAGUCUAGGGCUGCAACUAACGAUUAUUUUGAUAUUCCACAUUCUAUGGAGGGAUUAUUGGGUCAGAUUAUAAACUAAAAGUCUAAAACUAAAAGUCUUAAACCAAAACUAAAAAUCUAAAUUUGAAACUUAAAGUCCAAGUCGAAAAUUAAUUUGGUAUUUAGGAUAGGGCAUUUUGUAUUUAGGAUUGGGCAUUUUCUAUUUAGGGUUGGGCAUUUGGUCAUUUGGCCAUUUAGGAUUUAGGAUUAGGCAUUUGGGGAUUUAGGAUUGGGAAUUUGGUAUUUAGGAUUGGGCAUUUAAUCAUUUAGCCAUUUAGGAUUGAGGAUUGGGGAUUUGGGGAUUUAGGAUUGGGCAUUUGAGGAUUGAGGAUUGAGGAGUGUAUGCAAAUUAGGAGGCGUGGCCCACAUACUGGAGGCUGGGUUUGACAUGGCUGGUGCGCAGAGGCACCUUAUGGACAGCAGAGGGAGCUCCCAGUGCUAAGGAGCACACUGACAGAGCGUCCUCUUCAGAGUAAAAGUUGUCGUUCUCUGCGUGCUCUGCCAUCCACGUUGGCUGCCAUAUUAACAAUGGCAAAGCCAGAGCUAGCAUCUUUGUUGAGACAGGCGCUGGACGUUUUGGACAAAGAAAAGGCUUCCAGUAACGUUGGAGAGGCUUCUUCUUCGAUCACCACCUCGUCCAUUUUACCAACACCGAAAGUGUUCGGUCUAAACGCAACCCCAACUCGCGCCCACCAUGCUGUUCAAGACGAGGUGUCCAGAGUCUUUGCGCCAUAUAGCCGACCUGCAGCCAAAAAGAGGCCAGCAUCUCCGUGGUCAAUCAAACCAUCUAGUACCACCUCAUACACACACAAGUUCUUUUGUAUGAGUAGCAGAAAGGAUGACGAAGUGCCCUCACUGUCGUAUAAAGAAACACUGACAGCUGCUGGAAUGGGGGAGCGUAAAAUAGUAUUCCCCGAUAAACUUUGCAGUGCUAUGGACUUCUCAGCACAGUUGGUCCACCACUAUCCCAAACUCAGGGAUGGGGGUGGUUAUGAACUGCUUCAUAUCGUCGGUUCGACCAGAAGCAAGGUGCUUGAGGUUCUGCCCUGCCCAAAAAACGGAUAUUCCCCCAUGUACCUUCUCAGUGCUGAAGCAGGACUUGGCAAAGCCACUAUCUACAUUAGACCUCUGCAAAAAGAUCUGUGUCUAGAACCAGUAUGGGGGAGUUCUGCUGAUGAAAAUGAUGGACCAAUGGUUGAGUGCAUGUAUUGCCACAACAGUUUCAAACAUUCCAAUAUGCAGGAUCACGUAGACAUUUGUACAAGAGAUUUUGGCAACACAGAAACUCCCACAGUACAAGCUGAGGCUGACAACCAUGGAAAGAUGGACACCAGUACAGAAAGACAGGCAACACCAGAUGUCAGUGGUCAUAGACACACACAAAAUGAGACUGACAUGUACAGGCAGACGCAGAUUGAAAGCAGCCAACACUAUGAGAGACAGACUGAUAGAUGGCCACAAACCGACAGUGACCACCACAGACUCCAAAGGCAAUCGAGACAGAGAGAAGAACAGCCAUCAACCAGCAGUAACAAUGGUUCAGUCAACAUCUUUCAAUCUCCUGAAAAAAGUCAUAAUGCCGGUAUGUUUAAGAGCUUUUCUUAUAGUUGACCCUUUUUCCUCCUCCAAAGUGUUGAUAUGGUCUUAUACAGUAUAUUGCCUUGCUAAUAACUUCAGUGAUUGAUCUUGGAGGUUAAGAGCAUUGUCUAAAGCCUUGAAUAUACUCGGGAGAAAACGCGGACAAGGACCGCUGCGAACAUGGACUACUUCUGUUCAUACUCCCUUCUGCAGUCAGCAUGGCGGACACGUUCCACAGAAGCACAGUAGAUCAGUUGGUGCCCUGGUAGCGCUAGUUGCCGUGUGGACCUGGCGCGGUCACAAAAAAGGAGAGCCACGUGGACCCUACGCGUAUCCCCUCUGAUGAAGAUUUUUUUGUCUUGCGUGUGCGGAAAAGUAUAAUCAUUGCAUAAGGGUGUACUCACACUAGGCCCGGAUGCCUUGUACUGUGCCUGAGCACGAUAGUCCCCACUGGCCUGUGCUCACACUGCUCCUAACAAUCCGAGCCGUAUGUUUACAUCAUACCAUAUAUUGAUUUGUUUGUGGCAGCCCGCUCAACCACUGAUAUAAUAAUACUAAUAAUAAUUAUUAUUAAAUUUAUAAUAACUGACUGUUUUUUUUUUCUCUCUAAUAUCAUUUUCAGAAUGGAAAGCAGAAAAAAAAGGAUCCAGAAAAGGCAGCUGAGACUUACAGAAGGGAUUUACUGCAACAAUCAGAAACAUACAGGAGUCUGAAAUAUGUAAUGGAUAUGCAUGAGAGCCCAGAGGAGAAAGAGCGUGCAGUUGUGGUUUUCUACAAGCAGAAUAACAUCAACUGGGCCAGUCCAUUUUGUGUGUUUUUGAAAGGUAAUAUUCAGUGUUUCCAACAGAAUUGGAUAGUAUAAGUGAUUAUAUAGUUUUAUUAAAUAAUAUAGUAUAUAAGGUGUUCCGUUGAUAUUUCAUUGUCAGAUUUUAGCUCUGUUUUUCUAAAUUAAUGACACCUCAAAAACCCCAGAAAGCUUAGCCUAGAAAUCUAGACGCACCCUAGCGGCAGCCAACUGUAUUUUGCAGCCAGGGUUUAGUCUACCAACUCUCCGCUGACUUUCGAGCUGGACAAACCUAAAUUGUGUCAGGCCAAUCACAUUGUGAAUUGAGUAGGCGGGGCGGGCUUAGCAUAAUGACGACUAAUUCCCUGCUACUUGAAAACAAAGAAUGGAUGAUGACGAACAGUGGUCUUUUGAAUCGGCUUUGGCUGCAACUCUAGAGGACUUGGAUUUAAGCUUUUUUUUUUUUUGAGAAAAGCAAAGAACACCACUUAAGUCAUUCUUAAAACAGGAAGAUGUGUUCGUAGUUUUGCCGGCCAGAUAUGGCAAAAGUUGAAUCUAUCAACUGACAUUAGCUCCGCUGUUGGGAAAACGCUCUGGUUGGUUGAAGCAAUGAAGCGCUGUCCUAUUGCGUGCAGAGAGAAUUUGAGGUUUUUUUUCCACAAAAAAUGGCCAAAUCCACAGAAUACAAAUACACUCAAAACCUGUGGUAAUGGCAGUAUAAAGGGUUGUGGUUACUGCUUUGUUACAGGCGUCAGUAAGUGGCAUAUUCAUUCAAGCACAAAUGAUUUGUAAUACUUGUAAUGUAUUCAUUCCAAAAAAUAAUGUACUACAUCUCUCAACUCAUGUUACAGGUGAUCCCGCAGUGGGAGAUGGAGUGAACAGGUUCUUUUUCACAUUUGGGAUUUCAAAACUCCAGUCUGGAUUCAGUUUUGGCCUAGGUAUAUAAUGUAUUUUUGGUUGUGUUACUAUGUGUUUCCGAAUAAAAUACAAUAUAUUUACUUUUUUUUUUGUUUU
ensembl:lncRNA